CUUCCAUAUUAUCUAAUAAUUCUAAGAU
rnacentral:other from 1 species